UGGGGGAUAUUGCACAAUGGGCGAAAGCCUGAUGCAGCGACGCCGCGUGGGGGAUGAAGGCCUUCGGGUUGUAAACUUCUUUUGCUCUGAACAAGGCGCACCAUGGGGUGUGUUGAGUGUAGGGGUUGAUUAGCGCCGGCUAACUACGUGCCAUCAGCCGCGGUAAUACGUAGGGCGCGAGCGUUGUCCGGAAUUAUUGGGCGUAAAGGGCUUGUAGGUGGCUGGUUGCGUCUGUCGUUAAAGCUCAUGGCUUAACUGUGGGUUUGCGGUGGGUACGGGCUGGCUUGAGUGCAGUAGGGGAGGCUGGAAUUCCUGGUGUAGCGGUGGAAUGCGCAGAUAUCAGGAGGAAUACCGGUGGCGAAGGCGGGUCUCUGGGCUGUUACUGACACUGAGGAGCGAAAGCAUGGGGAGCGAACAGG
rnacentral:rRNA from 1 species